UCCAACUUAACUUGGAGUCCGAACUCUCACUUUCUAACCCUGUGCAUUUGUUUGGGAUAGUAACUCUCGCAAGAGGGCGAACUCCUAUUCACUUAUAAACACAAAGUCUAUGAAUGUAUUAAAUUUUAUAACAAAAUAAAACUUUCAACAACGGAUCUCUUGGCUCUCGCAUCGAUGAAGAACGCAGCGAAAUGCGAUAAGUAAUGUGAAUUGCAGAAUUCNGUGAAUCAUCGAAUCUUUGAACGCACCUUGCGCUCCAUGGUAUUCCGUGGAGCAUGCCUGUUUGAGUGUCAUGAAUACUUCAACCCUCCUCUUUCUUAAUGAUUGAAGAGGUGUUUGGUUUCUGAGCGCUGCUGGCCUUUAGGGUCUAGCUCGUUCGUAAUGCAUUCGCAUCCGCAAUCGAACUUCGGAUUGACUUGGCGUAAUAGACUAUUCGCUGAGGAAUUCUAGUCUUCGGAACUAGAGCCGGGUUGGGUUAAAGGAAGCUUCUAAUCAGAAUGUCUACAUUUUAAGAUUAGAUCUCAAUUUA
rnacentral:rRNA from 1 species